rnacentral:rRNA from 1 species
GCGGCAACAGCUCAAAUUUGAAAUCUGGCCCUCUUGGGGGUCCGAGUUGUAAUUUGCAGAGGGUGCUUUGGCGUUGGCUGUGGUCUAAGUUCCUUGGAACAGGACGUCGCAGAGGGUGAGAAUCCCGUAUGUGGCCGCCAGCCUUCGCCGUGUAAAGCCCCUUCGACGAGUCGAGUUGUUUGGGAAUGCAGCUCUAAAUGGGAGGUAAAUUUCUUCUAAAGCUAAAUAUUGGCCAGAGACCGAUAGCGCACAAGUAGAGUGAUCGAAAGAUGAAAAGCACUUUGGAAAGAGAGUCAAAAAGCACGUGAAAUUGUUGAAAGGGAAGCGCUUGCAGCCAGACUUGCUUGCAGUUGCUUAGCCGGGCUCCUGCCCGGUGUACUCUUCUGCACGCAGGCCAGCAUCAGUCCGGGCGGUUGGAUAAAGGCCUAUUAAACGUACCUCUCCUCGGGGAGGACUUAUAGGGUAGGCGACAUGCAACCAGCCCGGACUGAGGUCCGCGCGUCUGCUAGGAUGCUGGCGUAAUGGCUGUAAGCGGCCCGUCUUGAAACACGGACCAAGGAGUCUAACAUCUAUGCGAGUGUUUGGGUGUCAAGCCCGAGCGCGUAAUGAAAGUGAACGGAGGUGGGAACCUCUCGGGGUGCACCAUCGACCGAACCUGAUGUCUUCGGAUGGUUUUGAGUAAGAGCAUAGCUGUUGGGACCCGAAAGAUGGUGAACUAUGCCUGAAUAGGGUGAAGCCAGAGGAAACUCUGGUGGAGGCUCGCAGCGGUUCUGACGUGCAAAUCGAUCGUCAAAUUUGGGCAUAGGGGCGAAAGACUAAUCGAACUAUCUAGUA